UAGUGUUUCAGUUCUUUUAGAAUUUGUCUAGUGGGUUUUCUGGUUUUCACUGGAAGACCCAA
ensembl:snRNA U7 U7 small nuclear RNA